UUGCGAGCAUGAGUGCCAG
rnacentral:piRNA from 1 species